rnacentral:rRNA from 1 species
CCUACGGGAGGCAGCAGUGAGGGAUAUUGGUCAAUGGGGGAAACCCUGAUCCAGCAACGCCGCGUGGAGGAAGAAGGUUUUCGGAUUGUAAACCUCUGUUCUCUGGGACGAUAAUGACGGUAGCUGAAGAAGAAGCUCCGGCUAACUACGUGCCAGCAGCCGCGGUAAUACGUAGGUAGCGAGCGUUGUCCGGAUUUACUGGGUGUAAAGGGAGCGUAGGCGGGCCGGCAAGUCAGAUGUGAAAUCUAAGGGCUUAACCCUCAGACUGCUUUUGAAACUGUCGUUCUUGAGUGAAGUAGAGGUAAGCGGAAUUCCUAGUGUAGCGGUGACAUGCGUAGAGAUUAGGAGGAACAUCAGUGGCGAAGGCGGCCUGCUGGGCUUUUACUGGCGCUGAAGCUCGAAAGCGUGGGUAGCAAACAGGAUUAGAUACCCCAGUAGUC